UACGUAGGAGGCAAGCGUUAUCCGGAUUUACUGGGUUUAAAGGGUGCGCAGGCGGAUAUGUAAGUCAGUGGUGAAAUCUCUAGGCUUAACCUGGAAAUUGCCGUUGAUACUAUAUAUCUUGAAUGUUGUGGAGGUAAGCAGAAUAUGUCAUGUAGCGGUGAGAUGCUUAGAUAUGACAUAGAAUACCUAUUGCGAAGGCAGCUUACUACGCAGAUAUUGACGCUCAUGCACGAAAGCGUGGGGAUCAAACAGG
rnacentral:rRNA from 1 species